GAUGAAGAACGUAGCGAAAUGCGAUAAGUAAUGUGAAUUGCAGAAUUCAGUGAAUCAUCGAAUCUUUGAACGCACAUUGCGCCCCUUGGUAUUCCGAGGGGCAUGCCUGUUCGAGCGUCAUUAUAACCCUCAAGCUCAGCUUGGUGUUGAGGCCUGCUGCACUGGCAGCCCUUAAAAUCAGUGGCGGCGCCAUCUGGCUCUAAGCGUAGUAAUUCUUCUCGCUAUGGAGUCCUGGUGGAUGCUUGCCAUCAACCCCCAAUUUUUCUAUGGUUGACCUCGGAUCAGGUAGGGAUACCCGCUGAACUUAAGCAUAUCAAUAAGCGGAGGA
rnacentral:misc_RNA from 1 species